AGGAGAUAAAGGUAGAAGAAGGAGGGGCUCUUGUUAAAGCCCCUCGUUUGGGUUCUUCUUUGUAGGACUCCCUCUUCCUCCUCCCCUAUCUCCAUAGCCACUCAUGCCAAAUAUUACCAUUUAUCCUCUCUAUUAUACCUUGUAGUUUUUUCUUUGAAUCUACUCCCAUGAGAGGCUAGGAGACAAGGGAGGAGAGAAAGAGGAGGUUCUGCUAAAGUUCCAUCAUUU
rnacentral:lncRNA from 1 species